CCAACAAAAUUUUCAAUUGUUUUUUUUUUCUUUACUUUUGUUCUCCACGUGUAGACAUCACUUUUAACAUUAACACUAAUUUUCCGAGUUCUUCCAUUUUUAUGCUUUUUAUUUCAAAUCAGAAUUUUUUUUCCGACGUUACCACCGGAAUUCUCCUUCCGCCGCCGUCUUCUUCUCCUUCAAAGGCAUGGAGACACUGGUCUUGGUCAUUGCAUUGUCAGGAAAUUGAUCCAAAAACCAAGAUGUUGCACCCAGAAGGCUCCAAUCUCAACUUGAUUUUGUUCAACAAUUGAUUUUAAAUGCAACACUGCAAAGCUCGAAUUCGGAUAUUGUGGAAUGAUUUUUUUGGGUUCUUCCAUAGAGAUGUUAUGGAGCUGUGUAUACAUCUUAUUGUAAAAACAAGCAAUCAUGGAUUGUUCCCAUUGUAAAUUGUUUAGAACAUGUUAUUAGUCAUAAAGUUACUAUAUAUAAUAUCUACCCAUUAAAUUCA